AGGCCAUUAUCGGCAAAGUGAGCCGGGUAAGGACAUCAAGAAGAGCUGCUAUUACAGGGAUGUCCACCUUCUUUGAGAUGGAGAAAAAAACGACUCGCCGUGCAACACAAUCUUUUCUACCAGAGUGACUGUGAAAAGAACGUCAGAACUUGGAAGGUUUCAGUGAUAUCCUCCAGGUCAGGCACCUUCGGCAGAAACACUGCAGCUGCUGCUACCACCACCACGACCUAUAUUUCACUUCAGCCAUUGCUGCAUCACAACCAGUAUUACAACUUCUGAGCCGCUACCACAGUCCUUCCCAAUGAUGCCUCACCUUGACAGGGCUUCACAUGCUUCAAGAAGAAGCUGUCAG